AUGGAAAUAAAUAACCCACUAGAAAAUCCACUUGACAUGGAUCUGAGAACGCUGUCUGGGCUUGGUGCCAAGCGCUGGUAUUUCACAGCAGCGACCGCCUCACAGACGAGCUGUGGGAAGCAGGAGGGAGACUCUCUCUUAGGGUGGAGACACAGCUGGGCUGAACAAGAUUUGCUUCAAACGACAACAAGAGAGACAGAAAGUAUCUGGUUCAACCGCUGCCCAAGCAGGCAGGCACCAGAAGAGCUAGCAGCCAAUCCGGCCAUGCUCGAAGCCAGCUCUGCAGCUCAGCCAAUCAGUGACAUCACUGCAGUUUUAUUUGGAAUGCCCCUGGUGAUAUAA
rnacentral:lncRNA from 1 species